ensembl:snRNA U6 U6 spliceosomal RNA
ACAAUUUUAGCUCAUGUAUACUAAAAUUGGAACAAUACAGAGAUUAGCAUGGCCCCUGCACAAGGAUGACAUGCAAAUUCAUGAAGCGUUCCAUAUUUUU